rnacentral:rRNA from 1 species
UACGGUAGGGUGCGAGCGUUGUCCCGGAUUUAAGUUGGGCGUAAAGGGCGCGCAGGCGGUACGGCACGUCCGUUGUCGAAAUCGGCUCGGCUCAACUGGGCGGGGUCAGCGGGAUACGGCCGCACUUGAGCAAGCUAGGGGGCAAUGGAAUUCCCGGUGUAGUGGUGGAAUGCGUAGAUAUCGGGAGGAACACCAGUGGCGAAGGCGGUUGCCUGGAGCUUGCUGACGCUGAGGCGCGAAAGCGUG